UACGUAGGGGGCAAGCGUUGUCCGGAUUUAUUGGGCGUAAAGCGCUCGCAGGUGGUUCGUCGCGUCGUGCGUGAAAGACCCCGGCUCAACUGGGGGAUGUCGUGCGAUACGGGCGAACUGGAGGCCAGUAGGGGGAUGCGGAAUUCCUGGUGUAGCGGUGGAAUGCGCAGAUAUCAGGAGGAACACCGGUGGCGAAGGCGGGUCUCUGGGCAGAUAACUGACGCUGAGGAGCGAAAGCGUGGGGAGCGAACAGG
rnacentral:rRNA from 1 species